GACGAACGCUGGCGGCGUGCCUAAUACAUGCAAGUAGGACGCAGAUGCGAAAGUGUGAGUAACGCGUAGGUAACUACCUAUUAGAGGGGGCUAACUAUUGUAAACGAUAGCGAAUACCGCAUCCUAGUGGAUGGAACUGCGUUGUAUUUGGUAGUAGGUAGGGUAAAGGCCUACCUAGGCAACGAUACAUGGCCGACCUGAGAGGGUGAUCGGCCAACCUGGGACUGAGACACGGCCCAGACUCCUACGGGAGGAAGCAAUAGGGAAUCUUCGGCAAUGGGGGGAACCCUGACCGAGCAACGCCGCGUGAGUGAAGAAGGUUUUCGGAUCGUAAAGCUCUGUUGUUAAGGAAGCGGUACUUAACCAGAAAGGGACGGCUAACUACGUGCCAGCAGCCGCGGUAAUAC
rnacentral:rRNA from 1 species